CUGUGCGUCAGAUUUAAUUUCAGUCGCUUAACGGAAUCUGACAUGACUAUUAACACUACACAUUAGUGAACUAAACUGUCCACUAAUUUGCAGGUUUCCUUAUGAUGUUUUUGAUGAAAACUACUUUACAUGAUUGGUAUACAAACUCAUGUGGUACGAGUAGGAUUCCAAUCUGGGACUUUUCGAUCACAGGUGACGCAUUGUAUUGAGAAGCUCUCACAGUAUAACAUAAUCCCCUGGCCAACCUGGAAGUGUUUAAACAGACUCUGGGUCGUGCUAGGACAUGCCAAGAGAACCGGGAGAAGUGAGGCUUGACUAGCUACAAUCUCUGCGACUGUGGUGCUUGCUGUCAAGUCAAUGGCUCAACUACAGUCAGCACCACCAUCACUCGCUUACGUCCGGGUUUGGCGACAGGCAGUCUGCUGCGACAGCGACAACGUCAAAAAAAGUCACGAACUAAUUUUUCAAACGACCUACUAAUAGGACAAAGUUACUUCGGCCUUUAUUUAUCUAAUAAACACCUUUAUUUUGUUCACAACAAAGAUGUUUUCAAAUGUCGUGGACAUUUUGUGUUGCUCCUAUAAAUUAAUGAUGUCAAGACAGCGAGGGACGGACGGUAGCGUUUCUCUCGCCCGUCAUCAAUUAUCUUUUUUUUGAAUUAUUUUUUUCAGAAUCUUUCAAAGACGAAGAAAAAAAGCAACAAAUGUUCGGGGCACAAAGUCUACUGGCUAGUGGCUAUUCUAUACUCAACAGAAAUAAAUAAAAAUAUACUUACAUGAGACGUUAAUUUAGGUAGGUACAUCCAUAAUAUUUUAAGUUAAAAUGGAACAAUGGCGAGUGACAUAUGAUACUAGGUACCUAGGCCACUUUUAGCCGCGGCCAAAGGUGUGAACGUUGUAGGAACUUUUUUAAUAGCCCUAGUUGUUAUAGUUAGAGUUGCUAAAGCCCUUAUUUUUAGGGUUCCGUAGGUACCCCAGUAGCUACCACGCUUAAGCUACCACCGAUCACUUCGAUCCCGCUAUAUCUUCAAAGAACUUCUCUGUUUAAGUUUAAGAUAGUUUAUUAUUAUUAUGCUUGCUGCCUGAUAGGCUUUAGCCAUGAAGCUAACAAGUAGGUAAGGAUCCAGUACAGUCAAAAUGAUAAAAAACCUUGGACCCUUCCUAAAACUUCCA